UCUCCACAGGGGCUUGAAGACAUCCUUCCUCUGUGCCUUGGGUAUUCUAAGCCUUCCAGAUAUCUUUCUGGAUUUUUCUAAAGGCUCUGAGUCCCAACCAUCAAGGUCAGAUUUUCAGUCCCCAAGAGGUCAGAUUUCUCACUUCCUCCUGCUCUUUUUCCUCCUGUCCCCGACCUCUUGAUUACAUGAGGCAGGAGCUGAGUUUCUGAGACUAUCUUUUUUUUUUUUUUUUUUAACUUAUUUAUUUUCAGCCGCACCUUGGCGGCUUUCAAGAUCUUAGUUCCUUCGCCAGGGGUUGAACCUGGGCUUACUGCAGUGAAAGCCCUGAGUCUCAACCUCUGGACCACCAGGGAGUUCCCUGAACGACACUUUCAACUUCAUAAUCUCUUCACUGUGGCGUGGUCACAACAAGAGAAGCGUCUUGAUAAUCUGAACUUAGAAAAUCCUCCUCCUCAGUGAGAGCGGGCUUCCCAAGGGACAGGCUUGCUGAAACGCAGACAGAAAAAUGAUCCAGGUGCUGCACACACGGGGCUGAUGUCCGCCUGGUGCUGGAAACCCUUGCCCACGGCAGACCCGAGUGCUGAGGAACACAGCCCCUUUGUCACCCUAAUGGAUCCACCCUGCUGCUGCUGCUGCUAAGUCACUUCAGUCGUGUCCGACUCUGUGCAACCCCGUAGACGGCAGCCCACCAGGCUCCCCCACCCCUGGGAUUCUCCAGGCAAGAACACUGGAGUGCGUUGCCAUUUCCUUUUCCAAUGCAUGAAAUUGAAAAGUGAAAGUGAAGUCACUUAGUCGUGUCCAACUCUUAGCCACUCCACGGACUGCAGCCCACCAGGCUCCUCUGUCCACGAGAUUUUCCAGGCAAGAGUACUGGAGUGGGGCGCUACUGCCUUCUACGAUGGAUCCACUCUAGCCUCUGCCGUUCUCCACUGCCACCUGGCUGCCCCAGGAAAUGCCACCUCCUAACAAAUACUGGACGCUUGGCAAGCAAAUCGAGGUAAGAAGUGGAUUUAUUUAGAAAGAUACACAUCCCACAGACACAAUGAGGUCUGUCUCGAAAGGUGAGAGGCUCUGGGAGAAGCACACUCUAGAGACGGGGUGGGCCACCUCCCACAGCUUUCUCGAGCUCACCUUCAGACGGAGAGAUUCUCCGGGGGAAAGUGCAUGUCCACAGUACACAGCAGACUCUUCUUCACCCCCUACCCACCACCUUCCCACCCGCCCCAGCCUGGGCCUCCCCACCUCGGUCAAUAGCAACUGUAUUUAUCCAGCUGCUUGAACCGAAAACCGGAUUUGUUCAAGACCCCUCUCUUUUCUGUACAUUCCGUGUACAAUUCAUCAGCAAGACUUUUCAAUUCUGCCUUCAAAACACAUGAAGAAUCCAGCCGCUUCUCACCAACUUCGCCCUCACGCACCUGACCCGUAAUAGUUAACGCCCCAUCCCUCAAAUACUCCUAGACCAGUGAUCCCCAGAGUGGGGAGGAGAGGAAGCCAUUAAAUCUUUUAUCUAUAUUUUCUCAUUUCCUAUCCUUCUAUUUAAAAAUAUACACAGUGUUCAUUUUCUAAUGUACAUAAUGUAUGACUAAAGCAGAGCAUGCUUAAAAUUUAUAAACUGUGUGUGUGUAUGGAGGGAGGAGUGGAGAAUCUAGGUUAUUUUUGCAUGCAAUCUAUCACACACAUGAAGUAAAAUGCAACCCUUCUCCUGAGAACAGCUAGAAAUGAAGACAACAGGACAAAUAUUUGAAGGCCUUGGAGAGUUAACAGAGCAGUGAAAAAUUUUAGGACCAAGAUCUGGGAGAGGAAUAAAAUACAGAAAAGUGAGCCAGCAUUUGUGACCCCUUUUCCCCAGGUGUCCUUUUUUUUUUUCCCCAGAAGAAGAAAGAAGUCAAGAGAAUAAGAAGCUGACAGAGCUGUUGAUAGACAGUGUGGAUAGAAGGACGUGGGUAUUUGGGGCUCAUGAGGAGCUGAAAGCUUUGGACACCAGAGCAUUUGGUCUGGAAAAACCACACAGAACUCCUGUCUAGGAGUAAGGGGUGAAAGAUUCACUUCAGUAACUGAAGUCCAGCUUUGAAUUGUUUCAAUUCCAGUUUGGGUCAAGGAGCUUAUACACACAGCUGCCUCCUGUAAGUAGAUGCAAUUUCUCUCUUGACCAAGAAAACAUCCUCCAAGAUCUCUAUGUUUUCGACACACAAUGUCUGGCAUCAAAUCAAAACAACCUGUGUACAAGGAGACAAAACAAUGGUACUAAAAAAAAAAAAACAGCGAGAAAGAGAAUUGAGAAGUAAAGGAAACAUACCUACCAGAAAUCCAAAUUAGUGGGCUUGAAAAAAACUAUGCUUGAUAUCUUCAAGGAAAUGAAUACGAAAUGAGCAUUUUGGUGGAGAAAUAGAAACUAUAAGGGAGAAUCGAAAGAAAGUCUUGCAAAUGGAAAAUCUAAGUUUUCUUUCUUUUUUAAGAUUUUUGGCUGCAUCAGGAGGCAUAUGUAAUCUCAGUUCCCUAAGCAGUGACCAAACCCUUCAGUAGAAGCACAGAGCCUGACCACUAGACCACCAGGGAAGUUUCAAGACCCUAAGUUUCCAUUCACAGGUUUGACACAGCGGAGGAGAAAAUUAAUGAACUGGAACAAGAAAAAACAGGUAGAAGGAAGCGCAAAGGGAAGAAAGCAGAAAAGAGUCAGAGACAGAAGGAUGCAGAGAAAGGUCAAACAUGCAUGGAUCUGAAGUCCCAGCAGGAGAGAGGGGAGAAAAUGAGGCAGAAUAACAUUUGAAGAGAUAACGGCAGGAAGAAGUUCCAAAAUAGCUAUCAGAUCACAUGUUCCAUAAGGACUCUGAGCCCUAAGCAAGAUAAAGAUGAAGACAACCACAUCUCAGUGCAUCAGAGUGAAAGUGUUGGCCACCAAAGACAAAGGGAAACCUCAGAAGAAUCAAAUCCACAUUUCCUACAACAGCCAACACACGUUAUAUGACCCGGUCCAUCUGUUCAGUUUCAUCUCUUAACACCGGCACCUUGCUUACACCACAAAACUGAGGAUUUCAAACUGUGGUGUUGGAGAAAACACUCGAGAGUCCCUUGGACUGCAAGGAGAUCCAACCAGUCCAUCCUAAAGGAAAUCAGUCCUGAAUACUCAUUGGAAGGACUGAUGCUGAAGCUGAAGCCCCAGUACUUUGCCCACCUGAUGUGAAAAGCUGACUCACUGGAAACGACCCUGAUGCUGGGAAAGAUUGAGAGCAAGAGGAGAGGGGAGUGACAGAGGAUGAAAUGGUUGGAUGGCAUCACUGCCACGAUGGACAUGGGUUUGAGCAAGCUCCGGGAGAUGGUGAAGGACAGGGAAGCCUGGCGGGGUGCAGUCUGUGGGGUCGCAAAGAGUUGGACACAACUUAGUGACUGAACAACAGCAAGCCUUUUUUUUGGUGUGUUUCACAUUUGAUUAUCAUGACACCAAUUUGUUACAAUAAAAAUAGGUAAAUUAAA